rnacentral:rRNA from 1 species
AUGGGCAGUGCUGAGGAGGAGGAUCUACCGGCAACGGACAUGCCGCGGGUGGUGGACGUCCUCUCCACGCUCCUGGAGCGCGUAACGGAGCGCAACGACGCGGCGGCGGGGCCGGGAGCGCUGGAGCCGGCGUCAGCUUCGGCGUUCCGGGCGAUGACGAAGCCCGACAUCUCGGUGCGCGCGUACAUGGAGCGCAUCGCGCGGUUCGCGGGCUGCAGCCCCGCGUGUUUUGUGGUGGGUUACAUCUACCUCGACCGCCUCCUGCGCCGCCGCCGCGCCCUCGCCGUGGACUCCUACAGCGUGCACCGCCUCCUCAUCACCACCGUGCUCUCCGCCGUCAAGUUCAUGGAUGACAUAUGUUACAACAACGCCUACUUCGCCAAGGUGGGCGGGAUCAGCCUGCCGGAGAUGAACUACCUCGAGGUGGACUUCCUCUUCGGGGUCGGCUUCGAGCUCAACGUGUCGCCGGAGACGUUCGGCCACUACUGCGACAUCCUCCAGUCCGAGAUGCUCUGUCUGGAGCUGGAGCCGGAGCCCCUUCUUCCCCCUAACGCCGCCGCUCCAGGCAGCGCAAUGCAUUGCUGCCUCUCUGAAGACGAUGGCACUGGCGCCACCACCAGCAAUAGCAGCAGUACUCAGCAGCAGCAGCUGGCUGCGUAG